UACGUAGGGGGCUAGCGUUGUCCGGAAUCAUUGGGCGUAAAGCGCGUGUAGGCGGUCCGGUAAGUCCGCUGUGAAAGUCGGGGGCUCAACCCUCGAAUGCCGGUGGAUACUGUCGGGCUAGAGUGCGGAAGAGGCGAGUGGAAUUCCUGGUGUAGCGGUGAAAUGCGCAGAUAUCAGGGGGAACACCAAUUGCGAAGGCAGCUCGCUGGGACGUAACUGACGCUGAGACGCGAAAGCGUGGGGAGCAAACAGG
rnacentral:rRNA from 1 species